rfam:Rattus norvegicus chromosome 17, whole genome shotgun sequence.
GGGGAUUUAGCUCAGUGGUAGAGCGUUUGCCUAGCAAGCGCAAGGCCCUGGGAUCAGUCCCCA